UACGAAGGGGGCUAGCGUUGCUCGGAAUUACUGGGCGUAAAGGGAGCGUAGGCGGACUGUUUAGUCAGAGGUGAAAGCCCAGGGCUCAACCUUGGAAUUGCCUUUGAUACUGGCAGUCUUGAGUAUGGGAGAGGUGAGUGGAACUCCGAGUGUAGAGGUGAAAUUCGUAGAUAUUCGGAAGAACACCAGUGGCGAAGGCGACUCACUGGCCCAUUACUGACGCUGAGGCUCGAAAGCGUGGGGAGCAAACAGG
rnacentral:rRNA from 1 species